CAAUAGCGUAUAUUAAAGUUGUUGCGGUUAAACACUCGUAGUUGGAUUUCUGCUGAGGACGACCGGUCCGCCUUCCGGGUGAGCAUCUGGUUCGGCCCUGGCAUCUUCCUGAUGAACGUAGCUGCACUUGACUGUGUGGUGCGGUACCCAGGACUUUUACUUUCAGGAAAUUAUAGUGUUUCAAGCAGGCAUACGCCUUGAAUACAUUAGCAUGGGAUACUAAGAUAGGACCUUGGUUCUAUUUUGUUGGUUUCUAGAGCUGAGGUAAUGAUUAAUAGGGAUAGUUGGGGGCAUUCGUAUUUAACUGUCAGAGGUGAAAUUCUUGGAUUUGUUAAAGGCGGACUACUGCGAAAGCAUUUGCCAAGGAUGUUUCCAUUGAUCAGGAACGCAAGUUAAGGGAUCGAAGAUGAUUAGAUACCG
rnacentral:rRNA from 1 species